GCCAGACAGUCAUUAUUAUCCUUGUGGACCCCACGCUGACAGGUUGCCAUUAUUUCAAAGCUCUGCUUCAAUUUGUCUGUACAAAUAUGUGUUGCAGAGUUUGACACGCAAGUAUAAUUUUGUAUGCAUUAAAAACGGUCCUUAAAAAAUACUUGUUGCAAAUUUGGUGUACACAACAGCCAAAUUAAAUUGUCUAUACACUAAAUUUAUUUCCUUCUAAUCCAAUUAUUUUAUAUUUAUAAGUAUGCAGGAUAUCGUUCCGUAGUUUGCAAUGCUUCGAAUAGUGAAAUAGACAACAAAAAGAUGACUCAUCAAGUGGUCGUGGCCGAGCUCCCAUGCUAUGGCAUUAUUCGAAGCAGUGAGCACGGCGCAAUGUCCUGCCAAGAAUUAUAGAUACGCUGGAGCUGCUAUAGUGUGAAUGUGUAAAAAUUGAGCAUAGGAAUAUGGUUCAGAAAUUUGCAACUUGAACGAUAACCCGCACUUGGAGCUGGCUAUCGUGCAAGUCAUCGUUAAUGUUGCGGAAUUCUGUUUCCCUUAAAAUCAACUUGUGUUCAAUUCAAGCGAGGAAGUAACUUCUUUAUCAACAUGGAAUUCUACAAUCUCGAUGCUUCUUCUGCACGGAAAUCUCUCAGCUUGCCAGUAAAAUGCAAGCGUCAACCAUCGAAAGCCAAAGCAAUAUUCCGAAGGAAGCAACCACACAAAAAAUGCAUUUAACUUUGUUAUAGUAUUAUAGAUACACAAAUAUUUAUAUUUCAUGUACAAUUAUAUUCGUUAUAUAGUAUGUAUAGAGUAAUCAGACCAGUUGCACAUUCCAAAACUAAAGUCAAUUUCAACAUUUCUGUUGAUAUUGGAUUUCAAGUGGAAUGUUUAGUUGGUCUGCAUAGAUCUAUGUUUUCAUUUGUAAAAUAGUUAAAUAACAUUUGUAUAAAAAGAGAAACAAUUACAUACUUGUGACUGCAUUUCAGACCAAAUACAAAAAUGUUUAAAAUUCAACAAGCGUCAAAAAACAACAACAGAUUAUUCGCGCUUUUUUCAUUAGUUUUGAGAUGCGAUUUAAAACACAAUAGCUGAAUCAAUACUUUUUGCAGUGCAUAUUUAACGAAGCAAAAUUUUAUAAACAAUUGUUUAGGCGAUUAAGUCGUAUGCUAUACAAGUCCUUGCACAAUUUAAGGAUUGUGGAAUGAGCCGUUUUGUGGUCUACUAUAUAUUUAUAAUAUUUUAUUGUUAACAGAAGCUUUUAUUAUUGAUGCUUCUUCGAUGCAUCAUCGUAGCUGGGUGGCAAAUUCUAAAAAAAAAAAAAUUAUCUGUUAGUAAAAAAAAGCAUUUAUAAAAGAUUAUAAAUUACUUACGUUAUAGGAUGGCGGUAAAUCAUUGGGUCCGGGUGCACUAGGUCCUUGGUUGUAGGGUGUAUUGUAGGCGCUGGCCGCAGCUUCAGCUUCCUUUGAAUCUAUAAGAACGAGGAAAAUACAAUUAACUUCUGUAGCAUAGAAUUUGCCUUAUUUCUAUACAUAAAAUGUAUGUUACACACAUCAGAGAUAAAGUAUUAAAAGUAGCUGACGUUAGUUCAUAAGAUAGUUGAACCAAUAUGAAUGAAUUGUUAAAUUUUCUUUUCUAAAUUUUCUUAUGAAGCAACAGUCUUCUUACAAAAGUAAAUGCUACAAGUAAUUAACCAAUAUUUGCUACUUAAAGCUACAAUGUCUUACAGUCCUUUUAUGGAUAUAUAACAGGUAUUGGUAUAAAACACAAGGUUCUUGCAACUGGAUAACGAUUGGGAUAAUAAUAAUAUUGUGUGCUGCUGGUUCCUGCAAAGUUUGCAUGACAAAAAAGAAUGAAAGAAAGAAAGAAAUCGUUACGCCAAGUUACUAAAUACAAACUAAACAAAAAGAAAAUAA